rnacentral:lncRNA from 1 species
ACACACGGCACAAGAUGGCCGGAGAGGCAGCAGCACCCCGAGCUGUCAGGCGUUCCGCCGCGGCCGCGAGGCCCGCCGGCCGGCGGGGAGCUACGCCCGGACGGCCAGCAGGCCCGCGGGAGUGGGGCUGCCGCGGCUGAGGCGAGGCGGGCCGCGCGCGUCGGCGUCACAGCCCGCGGCAGAGGCGCCCAGGGCGGCCGGGCCCACGACGCCGAAAGCGCCGCUGCGGUUGCCGCCUCGGAGGCUCCCCCGGGCCCCGGCGGCUGGACCCGGCGCGGGCGGGAGGCUCGGGCGGGCGGUCCGGCCCGGGACUCGGGUUUGGGCGACCAGGAGGUGCCGGUGGCCGCGCUCGGACCCGGUACUUGCUGCUUAUUAAACCUUUAUGACGUUAAGGUUGUCUUUGAAAAAUGCAAGUUGGAGGAGUGCUUCUGGUAUUUCAGAAUUACGAAGACAAGUUUACUGUGUCGUCAAGGCUGUUUAAUGGAAAUAGAUUUGAUAAUUACGGUGCUAGCUAGCUGAUGACGUUUGGUUAAUGUAGUUUAUUUUACCGAGUAAUGACGCCAAGAUCAUUUGAUCUCCUGAUAUUUAAAUAUGAUUAAAUACACUGUUUGGUACUUUUUAAAAAGGUCUCAAGGAGCCGUUAUCUGCAACUUCUCACACCUGAAUGUUAGAACGUACUUGGGUCAAUUCCUAGUCUUUAAAAGUUCAUAAUUUAAUUAUUUUUAAGAAUUUAUAUUAUCACAAGCCAUGAUCGAAAAACUUUCACAAAAGAACAUUCUGACACCAAAUCUCUUCCUGAAGUUACUUUCUCGUAAUGUAAAUAUGAAUAAAGUAGGACUGCUCUCGGUAAUGGGCGAUGAAGAGGAGCCAUAUUUGUUGCAUUUGUUGCAUGUAUAAAAAUCUAGAUAUGCUUAAAACGGAACAGUAUUUUAAAAGUACAGGUUUCAUAAAAUUUAGUAGAGUUCUCUGUAUAGUCUCUAAUCUUAGAAAAAUGUUGGAAGGGUAAUUUUUAAGUGUAGUGGUUUGAAGAACAAACCAGAAGCGCACAAACCUUUGUGUAUUUUAGAAUAUAUUUGUCUUCAUUCUGCGGAGCUCUUGUGUUGUAAAGGUGCAGAACUACGUAAAAAUAGUGUUGGGCAGACUUACAUAGUACAUCUGAAAUCAGAUACUGGUUUAUUCGACCAUAUUUCUAAGGGCAUUUUUCCAGUAAAAUUGUUUUAUUUUUUGAGUAGCCUUCCUAUAGUGGUACAUGUUACAUCAGUUGCGCAUAUCUUGAUUUUACAGAAUCUGUCUUAAGUACCAAUUUUGGUUUUUCAAAUCAAUGUUUCUGAAAUUUUUGAACACUGAAAGUGGUUUUAAAUGAAUAUUCUGAAUCUAGUUCUUUAGAAUCCUCUUUGAAUUGUGAAAUGCAAAAUAAUUGUUAGCAGUUUAACCUGAAAGAUCUUUUUACAUGAUAAAUGGGGGAGGAGAAAGACUGAAAUGAAAAUGUUGAAGACCCUGAUUUGAAAUUGAGUGUAAAGGUCUAGAUACUGUAAGUUUUAGAGUAGCUUUAGAGACAAAGCUAGUAUCCCACUUGGUGAGAUCAAGUAACUUGUGGUUUAAAAUUUAAAGUAACCAGUGGCCAUUUUAACUUCACUAAUUUCUCUUGGAGGAGCUAAUUUUUAAUUGCUCAUGAUUGUAAAACAUACUUCCGGAUGGUAAGGGAGAUGUUAAGAUGAUUUGUCUUGAAGAAUGGUAAACUUUUUCUUUGUUUAUUGCCUGUCAUAAAAAGAGGGAAAGUAAAAAAAAAAAGGUUCAUAAUCUUAAAUCAGUCCAAAAAUUUGAAUUUUCUGUAUUUCUGUUUAAUUCAAUGCGUUAAUCUUUAGCAUUGGUCAAUACAGCCAAAAGAUGAGGAAAACAAAGACUGAUAGAUACUAAGAUAAGAAAUAACUGCAACCAUAAAUGUAUACAGGUUAUGUGUCCAUGAGCCAUCUCUUCAGUUUGCCCAUAGAUUUUUGUCUGUGGAAUAUUUUCUUGUUUCAUCACACUGAAUCGUUGGCCAAGAAAUGCUUGAAAAUCAAAACAUUAAUAUCAUCUUUCUUCUUUUUUUUAAAGGUGACUUAAGAGAUUAAAAUUAAUUUGGUUGCUGUUGGUUCUGAACAAAUAAUGAGUUCUUUUAUUUGAGGUAUGCCAUUUUGAAGACUGAGACGUUGGAGUUUUAUCCUAGAGGAUAAAGGAAAUCUUUGGGAAAGUCAGUAUUUUAUAUAGCAAGUAAGUAAAUGUUUUUACCCAACAUCUGCAAUUGAAUAGUUACCAACAUUUAAGUAGAAAAAUACCAUUAAAGUUUGUUAAUGAAACAAACUGUAGACUACUUAUCACUGAAAGGAUGAGAAAACCAUCAAAUUUCUUUGCCUGACAUUGAAAACACUUCUAUUACUAUCAAGACAGUCGAUGCAUGUAAUUUAUAUUGGAGCAGGAAGACAUUUAGUACUUCUUAAUAAAAUGGUGCUUUAGGAUUGUGGUUAAAUCUGCAGUAAAGUCAUCAAGAUUAUGUUUUUACAAAUCUGGUAUAUACAGUCUUAAGCCUUUUUUUUUUUUUUUUUUUGAUUGUACAAAUCACAUUUUAGGAAUGGUCUGGAAUUUUGCAUUUGCUGAUCGUAGGAUUCUUAACAACAUUUCAAAAACUAAAUAGACACUUUCAUAUCUUAGGCAUUUAAUAGAUUUAAAAUACUCAUUUUAAUUGUUUUCAUGAGUUUUCAAACAGGUCCAAAAAUGUGUUGUUUUCUAGGAAAUGAGAGUUAAUGCAUCUAAAGAGUCCUCUAAUUUAAUUGCUUAGUAAUUGCUUUUAAAGCAUGAAAGAUAGAGAUAAUUUUCACGCGCAGUAGGUAUUGGGCCCCCAGCAUACCAUGUAUAUCACACUUUAAAAUCUUAAAGCUAGAUACGUGAAUUUAAAAGAAUGUCCACUGAUGUUUUUAAGGAAAUAUGCCUUUUUUGUAAGUUAACGUUGAAUCUGAAAAUUAAUGUCAAGCUGUUAUUAGCGAUUGACUAGAGGAAAUACGCGGUAUAAUAAUGGGUAUCUUGGGAAAAUUUAAGAAUCGCCAAAUGACCAAUUAAAAUAAGGGCAAGUUUACCUUUUCUUCAAAAUUUAUGUGGAAAAUAAAAUACAGUCUUUCAAUACUUGGUGUUGGCUUAUUCCAUUGAUUGAAAUAGGUGGUAAGAGGAAUAUUUUUAUUGCCUUUGCUUCAGCUUAACUUCUUUUUAAUCCUUUUUUGCAGUUCGAUCAAACUUGGGUGUAUUACAGUGUGCAAGAGAAAACUAAAUGUUUGACUUUUAACUGUAGUGUUUUAAAGAUACAACAUUUACAAGAAUAGUUGAAACAUCCCUCACUUCAAAACUUCUUUAACACAAAUGCCGAGAUUAGGGUUUCCUCUGUGCAAUUGAUGUGAUAUUAAAUUGGCAUUCCUGUCAUUGGGCACUGUUAAGGAAAUUGAGAAAUGGGUCUCUUAUGUGAAGCAUAAUCUGUGUUUAAGUAUAAACAGGCAAUACAUUUAUAAUGGCCUACGGAAGGUGUAAUUUGAUUCAUAAAAAAGAAAACAGCUGGAAAGGGCUAGAAAUGUUAAAUCAAAGAUUCACAUGUACUUAGAUCUUUGUUACUGCAUAUAUUCAGUGUUUUGAUACUUAACUGCUUGAGCCAAUCUUGUAUAAUGAACCUAAUUGAUUGGCACAUGAGGGCAAAUGUGAAUGUAGAUAACUAUUAUAGAUAGAUAAUAUUAUAUAAGAUAAAUAUAGUGGAUCAUGUAGAUAUGAUAUUAAAGUACUAUAUUUUAUAAGGAAGGUGGAUUAUUGUAUAUUUACCACUGUUUUCUGCUUAAGAACCAAGGUGAUACUUAUAUAAUUGUUUUUACCCUAGCAUUUUGGGAUAAUUCUUGAGUCAUAAAAAUCUCCUGAUCAACUUGGUGAUUGAAUUGGAUUGCAUUAGUUCUGAUAGAAACUGUUUAAAAAAUUACCUGACAUUCUAUAGAAAUGAAAGGAGCCAUGCUGUGUAAUCACAAGGCUUUCAUGACAUGACAUUUAUAGAUUAUAUGAAAUAGGUAAUUUCAAAUGUAAAUUUUAAGUUUUAUUUACUAUUAGUCAUCGUUUUUUGAUUAUUUAAAAAUUUGUACUAUGGACAACUAAUUAAUUUUACUUUUUAUCCUCUGAGAUUUGAUUGUGGAGCGGCAUAAGGGGGAGAAAGAUAAGUUGAGGACGUCUCUUUAUCUUUUGUUAAUCAGAGGUGGUGAUAGAGUGGAAAAUAUAACACGUUUCGGCAUUCAGGAGACCUACCUUCCAAUAAAUAUGAACCUCAAACUGAAUCCUCUAAAGGCCCCAUACAAUGAAGUAGACAUUGGUGGAAACAUUUACACCCAGUCAGCUUGAAGAGUUUCAAAUGGACCCUACCACUGAGAAAUCAAGAUGGCAGUCUACUAUGGGGAAUUGAGGAAAAAUGGAUUAAUACAAGAGUCCUGUGAUAAUAUACAACCAAGACAGGGUUCUUUUAACAUGGAUUCCAUGCAGUGAAUGAAGACAUAGGUUUCUUACCCAACACAAAUGGACAGUGGAUUUGACUUUCUAAAGACUUUUUUUGUGGACAUUUUGACAUUUGGAGAAGAAAGAUGGCACACUAACCCAGAUAAUAGUUUUUAUGCCUGGAAUUUUUUGCAGUUUGAUUUGUAUGCGUAUGACCUCUUGAAAUGUUAAUUUUUAAUAAAAUUUGUAACACUUAAAAAUUUCUCAGUUUGGGUUUUUUUUUUUAAGUGGAAGUUUAAUUAAAUGUUUAGUUUUAUUUUAGUAAUACUUUGGCCUUUGUAGUUGCCGAGUGGUAAAGUGUACUGAAUAUGAAUAAAGCUGGUAAAUUGGAAAUGGUGUAAUCGAAAACAUUUUACUUGGUUUAUGAAGAUUUACGUUUUUCACAAAGUUGUGCUCUUAGAUGGUCAUUUGGUUUAAAUACUGUUUUGUUUGUGCUUUCAUGAAACACCUUUCAAAACAACUCAAUGGGUAAUAAUAGAAUCUGAUUUUAAUCUGCCACAAGAUUUUAAUGAACUUGAAACAAACUGCUUGUUGCUCGAAAAUUCAGGAUGAGUGAUACACAUAUACUUCUGAAUUAUUUUGUGUUGAUUGAAAUGGUUUCUUAAGCUUUUUAAUACUAUAAAUACAUCUUGCUAUAGAAUAUUCAUCUGAAUAUUUAAAUUAAUGUCUCCUAUUGUCUUACUAUUAGAGGAAGAAGUGUUGGAUUUAUGGGUUAGGGUCCUUGGAGUAUUCACAAUUUUUUAAAUUUGAAAUUAUGUGUGUAAUCCAUUUUAUAUAACUUUGAAGUAGGAUUAAUAUCUUGUAUCGUCUUUAUUUUGUACAAUUGGGGAUUUAGAAUAAAUGAAUUGCACCCUGCCAUAGAUUACUUACGUUUGAUUUUUAAAUGCCAGGUUUUCAUUUAUUACUAAUCAACUGAUACCAGUUUUGGUAACUAUUACAAAGGUGGUAGGCAUUAUUUUGGUAGACAAAAUGAGUUCUUGAUUCUGUUUUCCCAUUUUACAUGAGAAGAAUAAAUAGUUCAGGUUAAAUUGUUUUGUGUUAAUCAUACUGUUUGUGAUUCAUGUCAAAUACUGCAGCAUACACAUCCAUGGUUAAUACACGAGCACCAUUUGUUAUUGACUGAUGUGAGGUGGUUGGUCUUUGUUAAAUUCAAAAAUGGAAUUUUGGAUAUUGUUCUUGCUACGAAAUUUAUCUUUGUGUGUAGAGUAUGGAAUUGAAACAGUUUGGAUUAUGGAUUUUACCUAGAUUGGACAUUGUUGAUUUUGUUUGGUGUAAAUCUAAAGUGGAUUUCUUCAGUGAGGGAGAGACAUGGUUCUGGCAGAUUAUGUUGAAUAAGGAAAGUUGAUUGGAUUUUUUUGGGUGUGUGAAUAUGCUUGUCUGAAUGGAGUGCUUGGUAGGAUAUUGUUUCUGGAAUUAGUAAUUUGUUUCUGUGGAUCUCAUGGUUUUGAUAUUUAGGAGAAUUUGCUUUGUGACAUUACUUUGAUAAUUUGCAAUCACGUAUGUCCUAUUGUUAAUAACAUUGUUGAAAUGGGUGUAUACUUACUUGAUUUGAAAUAUAAGGGAAGUGUUGGGAUAUGUGUUUUCUGUUGGAUUUGGACGUGGAGUUUCUUGGGUUACUGAUUUAAAGGUGAUCGUGUUUGGACCAUACUCUUGAAUUUUUGCCUGAAUCAGUAUGGGAAGUAAAUAUAUUGUGAUUAUGAGAAGUUUCUUUGGGGGGAGGAGUGUAAUAUUUUCAAGGUUAUAUAAUGGGUUAAAGAAUUUUGUGAAAGAACAAAGAAAAAUGGAUAUUCUUGAAUAAAAAUUGGUUGCAUUAACUUUUGCUCCAGUGCAACUUGAACACUAGGGAGGCGCUCUUGAGUUGUAAAAGUUACCCCUUUCUUCCAGUGGAGAUGGAAAAUUCCCCCUUAAAUUUUGUCUUUAGAUUAUUUUUAGGCAUCAUAAAGAAGGAAAAACUUGAAUUUAUAUUAUGAAAUUAAGGUUUUACUUUUAUUUAGCAAUCAUUUCACCCAUUGGGGGAUUAAUUUUUAAAAAGAUUAGUACUUAGCUGAGCUUUAGAUUCUCUAAGAAUUAUCCCUUUUUCAAAAUGGCUUGAUAAAACACCACUUCCUGUCCAGGGAGGAAGUUAUUUUAGCUCAAGGACUGAAAUAUUUAGCAGAUCUUUAGACAAAAGGAACAAAUUACAUUUCUCUCUGGCUUAAAAAGGGUGCUUGAGCCAGAGGGGGUUAAGAAGCCCUCCCCCCUCCCCCUGUUGGGGUGGUCUGGAGGGGCAGGGAGGUGUGGGGGUGGGGGUCCUUAGGCUCCCUGGGAUGGAGGAUCUGUCUCUCUCUCUCUCUCUCCU